UGUUCCUGGAGAGGCAGGGCAGGCCAAAGUACUUAAGUGGUCCGGGCAGAGGAGGAUUUUGGGGAAAAGAAGGUAGCUAGGGAACCCUAGGAGGGCCAGCUGCCAGGUUUUCAUGUCCCCACAAAGGGGAAGGAGCACAGGUUACAGAUCAACCCCUCAGGGAGUCCUUCCUGUCCUCCCAUGCCCCGGGCUGUAGGCCCAGAGCAGAAAUGAAGGGAUGUGCAAGUGCUACGUCAGCUUCAGAGUAAGGAGCUAGGACCCUGGGGCAUCGGAGAAAUUAAUGACCCUGGUCCAUAAGGAGCGAAGACAUGAAGACUCUAAGAUGAGACUGAGGCUGAGGCAAACAGCCCAGUGACUAUUACCUUCUCCUUCUUGGCCAGGAAGAAGAGGACAUCAUCAUAAACCUCUUUUCGAUCCCUCUCGGGGACCACAGCCCAGACCUCCAGCUCCCCAAAGUGCCUGUACAACUUUGGAUCUUAUUACACUUCUGGGUGAGAAUCUGAAGGAACUCAUGUGAGAAAGAGGUACAGAAAAAGGGGCUGAAAGAGAAGCAGAUCCUGUGUCUUCCUUGGAACAAAAACACAUUUGUGGGCCGGGGAGAGAUGCAAGACAACUGAUCAUCUGAUCAUAAUGUGGUCAUUGGACCAGUGGAAAGACCCCCCGGCCCCAGAUGCAAUCAAUUCUUCUCAUUCUCCACAUCUAAGGGACAUCUCAGAAUUGAAGAUUCAAGAAGAACAAAAGGAAAAAAGGACAAGAGCAGAGAAAGAGAAAGAAUGGAAAGAGGAAAUGAUUGCCCUGACUGGUUUUCUCGGUGAUUAGAGCGUCGGAGGGUUCGAAGGUUCCAUUCCCCAUUUGGGCCAAGUUGCCAGCUCAGUCCCCAGCAGGGGGCAUGAGAAAGAGUCGGAAGCAUCAUGUACCUGACAUGCAGGCUCGGUGCGGACCUUGGUCAGGGUACAGGUGCUGGUUGGGGUGCAUUC